GAAAUGCGAUAAGUAAUGUGAAUUGCAGAAUUCAGUGAAUCAUCGAAUCUUUGAACGCACCUUGCGCUCCUUGGUAUUCCUUGGAGCAUGCCUGUUUGAGUAUCAGGAAAUCUUCAAAGUAAAUCUUUUGUUAACUCAAUUGGUUUCUACUUUGGUAUUGGAGGUCUUUGCAGCUUCACACCUGCUCCUCUUUGUUCAUUAGCUGGAUCUCAGUGUUAUGCUUGGUUCCACUCGGCGUGAUAAGUUAUCUAUCGCUGAGGACACUGUAAAAGGUGGCCAAGGUAAAUGCAGAUGAACCGCUUCUAAUAGUCCAUUGACUUGGACAAUACUUUUAUGAUCUGAUCUCAAAUCAGGUAGGACUACCCGCUGAACUUAAGC
rnacentral:misc_RNA from 1 species